CACAGAGCCUCUGCGUGAGUCCCCGAUUUUCCCGUCUGGCGCUCUGACCUUGCCUCCCAUUUGAUCUCAGGGCGGUGGAGACUGUGUAGUACAGUGGAGUGUUCCAGAGGCCACGUAACAUGUAAUGUGACCACAGAUUGAACACAGAAGCAUUUAAGAGAAUCAGCAGUUUGUAUUAAGCAGAUAGUGAAGAAAUUUACCAAAUUGUGAAACAAGGCGUCUCUCUCCUCUCCUUACUUAUUUUUGUUUUGGAAAGUAUAAUUAUAUUCCAUUAAAAUGUGUAUAUUUAUAUACUCAAUGAGAAGAUUAUUUUUAAAUGAAUUAAUGAAAAGAUUGAAAUGUUCUCAGUUUUACUUUCUGAUACAGUGAUUAUCGAUAGCGAGAACUCUCACUUCUCUGUGGUGUAAGAGGGCUUUGAGAAGAGCUGGCCUCCAGCAGCCUGACUCUCCAGCUUCAUGGCCAGUGAUUUCCUCUCCUCCCUCAUACUUUUCACAUGAACAUCCAGCUCCAGACAAGAUGAAGCAGAUCCACUUUCUCCCUUUUCCUCUGGUUAAGUGCUUCCUAAAAUCCUGAACAUCACAGAUGCAACCAACAUCUGAAAGGUAAAGCAAAGGCUCGGGGCCUCAGGACUCAAGGAGUGACAUGUCACCAGGGUGGCAUCAGCAGAGACCCAGACGGGCUGCUGAGCUUCUGCUCUGGUCCAGCAAUAAUGAGACGCCCGCCACUCCGCAAGUGUGUCGACGGCUGAAUGGAGACCCUGGACUUUUACCCCCACCUGGCGGUAACCAGGAGGUCACCCCGCCCCGCCCGCCUCAGCAGAGCGGUAGGAAAGGGGCCCUGCUGAAACAGAUCAGUCUCACAACACAAUACCUGAAGUGUCCAAGGUGCGAUUUCAAAUCACGCAUGAUGCCAAGAACUGGGAAAAUCUCAACUUGAAUGAGAAAAGAUAAUUAGCAGAUGCCAACAUGGAGAUGACAGAGAUGUUGGAAUUAUCUGACAAGGAUUUAAAAACAACCAUCAUAAACAUGCUUCACUGAGCAAUGAUAGCAAUGCUCAAUAACUUAAAAUAAAGGAUGACUUAAAGGAACAAAUAGAAAGUCUCAGCACAGAAAUAAAAGAUAGAAAGAAGGAUCAUAUCCUUUACUUGGGCCUUAAAAGUACCACUCGUGCUUCUGGGAUGACCACCCUUUCUUUGUGCCUGGGCCAAGGUGUCUGCCUCUUCUUAGAACACCCAUCUCUCGUUUUUAAAUCCUGCUUGUCCCUGGGGUCAGCUGAGAUGUCACCUCCUCUGCGAAGCAUUCCUUGACUUCCUUGCCCCUUCCCCCUGAAAGCUCCCUACACCAUAGCACUCACACUCAACUCCAAUUAUUCUGUCAUCUCUCCCUCUGCACCUGCCCGGUGUAAAAACUUUCCAGAGGGCCUGUGUCUUAUCGCAGGUGUCUGGCACAAUACCUGGCUUAAAAUAAGCACUCAGAAUAAAUGAAUAAAUGAAUAAAUCUGUGAAUAAAUGGAAA